rnacentral:misc_RNA from 1 species
AAGACUAUAGACCUGCGGAGUACCUGCGGAGGGAUCAUUAGAAAGAUCGACCCGAAAUAUGGACGAUCAAAUCCAUAUCCACCUUGUGUGCACCUAUUGACCGUUCGCUUUGGCAGGAGUCGUCUUCGAUCCGGUCCGGAUCGAAGCGCGAAGGGGGGAGGUUCCCUCGUCAGGGGGGAUAUCGUACCUUGGCCUGCCAGAGUUUUUUUUCCCCUUUCAAAGGGAAAAGAUCCACACCUC